CUUCUCACGCAGAUGACGGUGUGGGGUGGGGACACCGGGCCGAGGAGCUGCUGAGGAUUCUGCCUCUCCCACCUGUGAACGUGCUCUCUAGGCACCCGUUUCAUGGCCCUGUCACCUGAGGGCCUCCGUUUGCGCUGCCACCAUCUCAGCCGUCUCACUUCCUACCCUCCCACCGUCCGGAGUUGGGUGUAGCCACUCCCUGGCUGGCUCUUCCACCCGGGAGGUGCCCUGGCUGUAUACACUGCCGGCUCCCGUGUCUUGUAACCUUUAAGUGCACCCUGUGCACGGAGAACUCUAUUCAGUGUCUUUUGAUAAAGCAUCAUGAAAAAGAAUAUAUAUAUAUAUAUAUAAAAGACGUGCAUAUACGUAUAACUGAGUCACUUUGCUGCACAGCUGAAGUUAACACAGCAUUGCAAAUCAACUAGACGUCAAUUUAAAAAAAAUGUUAAACGCACCACGUGGUCCAGAGCCACGUCCCACCCAUGUUCACAGCAGCGUUAUUCCCAGGGACCAAAAGGCAGAAGCAGCCCGAGGCCCGUCAAUGGACGAGUGGAUAAAGAAAACACGUUCCAUCCAUACACUGUGUUGCAAACUGGACCAGUAUCCACAAGGAUGCAAGUUCGAUCCCUGGCCUCGCUCAGUGGAUUAAGGAUCUGGCAUUGCCAUGAGCUGUGUAGGUCGCAGAAGCAGCUCGGAUCCUGCAUUGCUGUGGCGGUGGUGUAGCCCGGCGGCUGCGGCUCCGAUUGGACCCCCGGUCUGGGAACCUCCACGUGCCGCAGGCCCGAAAAAGACAAAAAAGGGAGAAACAGUUAACAUCUGUGCAAUUCACUAGCUGGGAGGCCUCAGUUUCCCCCUCAUGUGGUGUGGGUGGUUGUGAGGACUGGACCAGGCGACCGAAAGAGCAGUUGAGGCAGGUGUCUGCACAGAAGCAGGUGCGGGGCCACUCCCGGGCUGGGCUGCGUUGGAGGUGAGAACAGUCAGUUUAGAGGAAGGCGAACGAGGCCGCGGAGGUAGGAAGUGGCCAAGGCGGGGUGGUGAUGGGAGCCCUUGCCGCCAAGGCUUGGGCCAACUUUUCUUUCGAAAAUACAUUUUAAAGUUGAGAUGUAGGAAGUUCCCUGCCCGAGAACUUCCACUUGCCCCAGGUGUGGCCAACAUAAAUUGAGAUGUAAACCACGUGUGGCGUACAUUUCAGUGGUUUGUAGUUUAUUCAGCAGGCGGGCCAACCAUUCCCCCCCCAAUUGUGGACCCCUGCCAUCACCCCAAAAGAACCGCUCUACCCAUGAUGGACACUGGAUUGUUCCUAAGUUUGACUCUCCGGAGGAACGCGUUGUGCACACGUUUCUGUGUGGAUGGAUGCUUCCCUUUGUCUUGGGUCUGUAGCUGGGAGUGGAC
rnacentral:lncRNA from 1 species